UGGCGAUGAUUAUUUCUUACCCGCGCUUCUGAGUUGAAUCUAUGAAGCAUAAACUUGAAUAAUGGUUGAAUUUCUUGAUAUGAGCCA
rfam:Morus notabilis contig10235, whole genome shotgun sequence.